rnacentral:lncRNA from 1 species
GCAGGUUUUUCAUCUUUCUCUCCAACAACUAGUUCUUCAGGUUUCUCUUCAAGUGCCAGUUCUUCAGGUGUUUCCUCCUUUGCCAGCUCUUCAGGUGUUUCCUCCUUUGCCAGCUCUUCAGGUGUUUCUUUAGCUGCCGGUUCUUCAGGUUUCUCUUCAACCUCCGGUUCUUGUGGUAUUUCCUCUACUUGUACUUCAGAUUUCUCCUCAAUUGUUGGUUCUUCAGGUUUCUCUCUAACCGCUGCUGCAUUAGGUUUCUCUUCAUUGGCUGGUUCUUCAGGUUUUUCUUCAACUACCGAUUCUUCAGGAUUUUCCUCAAUGUUUGGAAAGGGAGCGACAUCAUUAUUGGUAUUGCAUGGAAUUUCACUGCCAGUUUUGUCAUUCAAGUCCACAACUAGUAUAUUCUGCAAAAGAGUUUAAUGUUUCACUUAGUCUUUCAAUAAAGAAGCAGAUGCGAAUCAUUACAUAUACAUAACUAAUAACAUGGAUAAACUUUAUGACAGUAGUUGACCCUUACCUUUUCCACAAGAGUUACUUUUGCAGGUUUCUCCUCUUCAAGUGCUGGUUUCUCUUCAAAUGAUAGUUCAUUAGGUGUUUCUUCCCGUGUUGGUUCUUCAUGUGCUUCUUCAGUUACUGGUUUUUCAGGUUUCUCCUCAAUUGUUGGUUCUUCGCUUGUCUUCUCAACUGAUGGUUCCUCAUGCUUCUCUCCCGUUGUUGAUUUUUCGGGUUUCUCUUCAGUUGUCGAUGGUUCAGUUUUUUUCUCAACCGCUGGUUCUUUUGGCUUCUCCAAAACCAUUUCCGAUUUCUCUUCAGUUGGUGGUUCUUCAUGGUUUUUUUCAACUACUGGUUCUUCUCUUUUUUCCUCAACUGAUGCAUAGUCAGCAAUAUCGUUGUUGGUAUUGCUUGGAAUUGCAUUGUCUGUCUUGUCCUUUGAGCUUACAAUUGGCAUAUUCUGCUAGAAAAAUAUAAAGUUUCAUGUAGUCUUUCAACAGAGAAACCAAUGUAAAUUUGUUGCACAUAUAAAGCUAACAAAUAUGAUGGAUAGACUUUGCGAGAGUGUUUAAUACUCACCUUCUCCGGAAGAGCUUCCGUUUCAGGUUCCUCUUCAAUUUCUGCUUUUUCAUCUUUCUCUUCAACAACUAGUUCUUCAGGUGUCUCUUCAACCGUUGAUUCUUCAGGUUUCUCUUCAAGUGUUAGUUCUUGAGGUGUUUCCUCCUUUGCUAGCUCUUCAGGUGUUUCUGUAACUGCCGGUUCUUCAGGUUCCUCUUCAGCCACCGGCUGUUGACGUAUCUCCUCUACUUGUACUUCAGAUUUCUCCUCAAUUGUUGGUUCUUCAGGUUUCUCCUUAACCGCUGGUACAUCAGGUUUAUCCUCAUUGACUGGUUCUUCAACUGCUGAUUCUUCUAGAUUUUCCUCAAUGUCUGGAAAGCGAGCAACAUCAUUAUUGGUAUUGCAUGGAAUUUCAUUUCCAGUUUCGUUAUUCGAGUCUACAAUUAGCAUAUUCUGCAAAAAGAAUUUAAUGUUUCAUUUAGCCUUUCAAUAAAGAAGCAUAUGCGAAUAACAGUACAUGCAUAACUAACAAAAUGGAUAAACUUUGUGAUAGUGCUUGAUCCUUACCUUUGCCAAAAGAGUUACCUUUUCAGGUUUCUCCUCUUCAACGGUUGGUUCUUCAUGUUUCUUUUCAAAUGCUAGUUCCUUGGUUGUUUCUUCCGGUGUUGGUUCCAUAGGUGUUUCUUCAGUUACUUGUUUUUCGGGUUUCUCUUCAAUUAUUGGUUCUUCGAUUGUCUUCUCAACUGAUGGUUCUUCAAGAUUUUCUCCCACUGUUGGUUUUUGGGGUUUCUCUUCUAUUGUUGGUUGUUCAGGAAUUUUCUCAACUGGUGGUUCUGCUGGAUAUUCCAAAACCAUUGAUUCUUCAGAUUUCUCUUCAAUUGAUGGUUCUUCAUGGGUUUUUUCAACUACUGGUUCUUCAAUUUUUUCCUCAACAGAUGCAUAGUCAACAAUAUCAUUAUUGGUAUUGCUUGGAAUUGCAUCGUCUGUCAUGUCCUUUGAGUUUACUUUUGGCAUAUUCUGCAAUAGAGUUUCAUGUAAUCUUUCAACAGAUAAACAGAUGUAAAUUUGUUGCACAUAUAAAGCUAAUAUGGUGGAUAAACUUUGUGACAGUGUUUAAUCCUCACCUUCUCCUGAAGAUCUUCCGCUUCAAGUUCCUCCUCUACAAUUGCAGUUUUUUCCUCUUCCCCUUCAACAACUAGUUCUUCAGGUGCCUCUUCAGCCGUUGAUUCUUCAGGUUUCUCUUCAAGUGCUAGUUCUUCAGGUGUUUCCUCCUUUGCCAGCUCUUCAGGUGUUUCUUUAGAUGCCGAUUCUUCAGGUUUCUCUUCAGCCAUCGGUUCUUGAGGUAUUUCCUCUACUUGUACUUCAUAUUUCUCCUCAAUUGUUUGUUCUUCAGGUUUCUCUUCAGGUUUCUCCUUAACCACUGGUACAUCAGGUUUCUCUUGAUUAACUGGUUCUUUGGGUUUUUCUUCAACAGCCGAAUCUUCAGGAUUUUCCUCAAUGUCUUGAAAGCAAGCAAUAUCUUUAGUGGUAUUGCAUGGAAUUUCACUGCCAGUUUUGUUGUUCGAGUCUACAAUUAGCAUAUUCUGCAAAAGGAAUUUGAUGUUUCAUUUAGCCUUUUAAUAAAGAAGCAGAUGUGAAUAACAUUACAUGCAUAACUUACAAAAUGGAUAAAUUUUGUGACAGUCCUUGACCCUUACCUUUUCAGGUUUCUCCUCUUCAACAGCUGAUUCUUCAUGUUUCUCUUCAAAUGCUAGUUCUCUGGGUGUUUCUUCCCGUAGUGCUUCUUCAUGUGCUUCUUCAGUUACUGGUUUUUCAGGUUUCUCCUCAAUUGUUGGUUCUUUGAUUGUCUCCUCAACAGAUGGUUCUUCAAGCUUCUCUCCCGUUGUUGAUUUUUCUGGUUUCUCUUCAAUUGCUGGUUGUUCAGGAAUUUUCUCAACAGCUGGUUCUUCUGGCUUCUCUAAAACCAUUGAUUCUUCAGCUUUCUCUUCAAUUGAUGGUUCUUCAUGGUUUUUUUCAACUAUUGGUUCUUCAGUUUUUUCCUCAACGGAUGCAUAGUCAACAAUAUCAUUGUUGGUAUUGCUUGGAAUUGCAUCGUCUGUCAUGUCCUUUGAGUUUACUUUUGGCAUAUUCUACAAUAAAGUUUCAUGUAGUCUUUCAAUAGAUAAACAGAUGUAAAUUUGUUGCAACAUAUAAAGCUAAUAUGGUGGAUAAACUUUGUGACAGUGUUUAAUCCUCACCUUCUCCCGAAGAUCUUCCGCUUUAAGUUCCUCCUCUUCAAUUGCUGUUUUUUCAUCUUUCGUUUCAACAACUAGUUCUUCAGGUGCCUCUUCAGCCGUUGAUUCUUCAGGUUUUUCUUCAAGUGCCAGCUCUUCAGGUGUUUCCUCCUUUGCCAUCUCUUCAGGUGUUUCCUCCUUUGCCAGCUCUUCAGGUGUUUCUUUAGCUGCUGGUUCUUCAGGUUUCUCUUCAGCCGCCAGUUCUUGAGGUAUCUCCUUUUCUACUUCAGAUUUCUCCUCAACUGUUGGUUCUUCAGGUUUCUCUUCAUUAACUGGUUCUUUGGGUUUUUCUUCAACAGCCGAAUCUUCAGGAUUUUCCUCAAUGUCUGGAAAGUGAGCAACAUCUUUAUUGGUAUUGCAUGCAAUUUCACUGUCAGUUUUGUCGUUCAAGUCUACAAUUAGCAUAUUCUGCAAAAAGAAUUUGAUGUUUCAUUUAGCCUAUUAAUAAAGAAGCAGAUGUGAAUAACAUUACAUGCAUAACUUACAAAAUGGAUAAACUUUGUGAUGGUCCUUGACCCUUACCUUUCCAGGCUUCUCCUCUUCAACGGCCAGUUCUUGUUUCUCUUCAAAUGCUAGUUCCCUGGGUGUUUCUUCCUGUAUUGGUUCUUCAUGUGCUUCUUCAGGUACUGGUUUUUCAGGUUUCUCCUCAAUUGUUGGUUCUUCGAUUGUCUCCUCAACAGAUGGUUCUUCAAGGUUCUCUCCCGUUGUUGAGUCUUCUGGUUUCUCUUCAAUUGCUGGUUGUUCAGAAAUUUUCUCAACAGCUGGUUCUUCUGGCUUCUCCAAAACCAUUGAUUCUUCAGCUUUCUCUUCAAUUAAAGGUUCUUCAUGGUUUUUUUCAACUACUGUUUCUUCAGUUUUUUCCUCAACGGAUGCAUAGUCAACAACAUCAUUGUUGGUAUUGCUUGGAAUUGCAUCGUCUGUCAUGUCCUUUGAGCUUACUUUUGGCAUAUUCUGCAAUAAAGUUUCAUGUAGUCUUUCAAUAGAUAAACAGAUGUAAAUUUGUUGCACAUAUAAAGCCAAUAUGGUGGAUACACUUUGUGACAGUGUUUAAUCCUCACCUUCUCCUGAAGAUCUUCCGCUUCAAGUUCUUCCUCUUCAAUUGCUGUUUUUUCAUCUCUCUCUUCAACAACUUGUUCUUCAGGUGCCUCUUCAGCCGUUGAUUCUUCAGGUUUCUCUUCAAGCACUAGUUCUUCAGGUGUUUCCUCCUUUGCCAGCUCUUCAGGUGUUUCUUUAGCUGCCAGUUCUUCAGGUUUCUCUUCAGCUGCCGAUUCUUGAGGUAUUUCCUUUACCUGUACUUUAGAUUUCUCCUCAAAUGUUGGUUCUUCAGGUUUCUCCUUAACCGCAGGUACAUCAGGUUUCUCUUCAGCUGCUGGUUUUUGAGGUUUCUCCUCUACUUGUACCUCGGAUUUCUCCUCAACCAUCGGUUCUUCAGGUUUCUCCUCAACCUCUGGUACGUCAGGUUUCUCUUCAUUAACAAGUUCUUCACUUUUUUCUUCAAUAGUUGAUUCUUCAGGAUUUUCCUUAGUGUCUGGAGAGUAAGCAACAUCAUUAUUGGUAUUGCAUGGAAUUUCACUGCCAGUUGUGUCGUUCGACUCUACCAUUGGCAUAUUCUGCAGAAAGAAUUUAAUGUUUCACUUUGCCUUUCAAUAAAGAAGCCGAUGUAAAUCAGAGGACAUACAUAACUAAAAAAGAUGGAUUAACUUUGUGAUAGUGUUUGACUCUUACCUUUUCGAAAAGAGUUAUCUUUUCAGGUUUCUCCUCUUCAACUGUUGGUUCUUCAUGUUUCUCUUCAAAUGCUAGUUCCUCAGGUGUUUCUUCCUGUAUUGGUUCCUCAGGUGUUUCUUCUUCUGUUACUUGCUUUUCAGGUUUCUCCUCAAUUGUUGGUUCUUUGAUUGUCUCCCCAAUCGAUGGUUCUUCAAGCUUUCCCCCCCCUGUUGGUUUUUCAGGUUUCUCUUCAAUUUUCGGUUGUUCAGGUAUUUUCUCAACUGCCGGUUCUUCUGCCUUCUCCAACACCAUUGAUUCUUCAGAUUCCUCUUCAAUUGAUGAUUCUUCAUGGGUUUUUUUAACUACUGACUCUUCUGUGUUUUCCUCAACUGAUGCAUAAUCAGCAAUGUCGUUGUCGGUAUUGCUUGGAAUUGCAUUGUCUAUCUUGUCCUUUGAGUUUAAUUUUGGCAUAUUCUGCAAUAAAGUUUCAUGUAGUCUUUCAAUAGAUAAACAGAUGUAAAUUUGUUGCACUCAUAAAGCUAAUAUGAUGGAUAAAAUUUGUGACAGUGUUUAAUCCUCACCUUCUCCUGAAAAACUUCUGUUUCAAGUUCCUCCUCUUCAAUUGCUGCUUUUUCAUCUUUCUUCUCUACAACUAAUUCUUCAGGUUCCUCCUCAACGGUUGAUUCUUCAGGCUUUUCUUCAAGUACUAGUUCUUCAGGUGUUUCCUCCUUUGCUAGCUCUUCAGGUGUUCCUUUAGCUGCCGGUUCUUCUGGCUUCUCUUCAGCCUCCGGUUUUUGAGAUAUCUCCUCUACUUGAACUUUAGAUUUCUCAUUAAUUGUUGGUUCUUCAGGUUUCACCUCAACCGCUGGUACAUCAGAUUUCUCCUCAUUAACUGGUUCUUCAGGUUUUUCUUCAACAGCCAAUUCUUCAGGAAUUUCCUCAAUGUCUGGAAAGUGAACAACAUUAUUCUUCGUAUUGCAUGGAAUUUCACUGCCACUGUUGUCGUUCGAGUCUAUAAUUAGCAUAUUCUGCAUAAAGAAUUCAAUGUUUUACUUAGCCUUUCAAUAAAGAAGCAGGUGUGAAUCACAAUACAUGCAUAUCUAACAAAAUGGAUAAACUUUGUGAUAGUGCUUGGCCCUUACCUUUUCUAAAAGAGUUUCCUUUUCAGGUUUCUCCUCUUCGAUGGCUGGUUCUUCAUGUUUCUCUUCAAAUGGUAGUUCAUUUGGUGUUUCUUCUCGUGUUGGUUCUUCAGGUGCUUCCUCAGUUACUGGUUUUACAGGUUUCUCUUCAACUGUUAGUUCUUCGAGUGUCUCCUCCAUCGAUGGUUCCUCAAGUUUCUCUCUUGCUGCUGGUUUUUCAGAUUUAUCUUCAACUAUCGGUUGUUCAGGUUUAUUCUCAAUCGCUGGUUCUGCAGGCUUCUCCGAAACCGCUGAUUCUUCAGAUUUCUCUUCAAUUGGUGAUUCUUCGUGUUUUUUUUCAACUACGGGUUCUUCAGUUUUUUCCUCAACUGAUGCAUAAUCAGCACUAUCAUUGUUGGUAUUGCAUGGAGUUGCAUUUUCUGUCUUGUUCUUUGAGCCUACAAUUGGUGAAUUCUGCAAAAAAUUUAAAAUUUCAUUUAGUCUUUAAAUAGAUAAACAGAUGUAAAUUCAUUGCACAUAUAAAGCUAAUAUGAUAGAUAAACUUUGUGACAGUGUUUAAUCUUCACCUUCUCCUGAAGAGCUUCCAUUUCUAGUUCCUCCUCUUCACUUGCUGGUUUUUCAUCUUUCUCUUCAACAACUAGUUCUUCAGGUGUCUUUAUAGUCUUUGAUUCUUCAGGUGCUUCUUUAUCUGCCCGUUCUUCAGGUUUCUCUUCAGCCACCGGUUCUUGAGGUAUAUUCUCUUGUACUUCAGAUCUCUCCUCAAUUAUUGGUUCUGCAGGUUUCUCUUCAUUGUCUGGUUCUUUGGGUUUUUCUUCGACAGCCAAUUCUUCAAGAUGAUUUUCCUCAAUGUCUGGAAAGUGAGCAACAUCAUUAUUG